rnacentral:rRNA from 1 species
GAUGAACGCUGGCGGCGUGCCUAAUACAUGCAAGUUGAGCGAACAGAUGAGGAGCUUGCUCCUCUGACGUUAGCGGCGGACGGGUGAGUAACACGUGGAUAACCUACCUAUAAGACUGGGAUAACUUCGGGAAACCGGAGCUAAUACCGGAUAAUAUAUUGAACCGCAUGGUUCAAUAGUGAAAGACGGUUUUGCUGUCACUUAUAGAUGGAUCCGCGCCGCAUUAGCUAGUUGGUAAGGUAACGGCUUACCAAGGCGACGAUGCGUAGCCGACCUGAGAGAGUGGUCGGCCACACGGGAACGGAGACACGGUCCAGACUCCUACGAGAGGCAGCAGUAGGGAAUCUUCCGCAAUGGGCGAAAGCUUGACGGAGCAACGCCGCGUGAGUGAUGAAGGUCUUCGGAUCGUAAAACUCUGUUAUUAGGGAAGAACAAAUGUGUAAGUAACUAUGCACGUCUUGACGGUACCUAAUCAGAAAGCCACGGCUAACUACGUG